rnacentral:tRNA from 1 species
AUUUCUUUAGUAUAAUAGUACAAAUGCCUUCCAAGCAUGAAGUCUCUUACGAGAAGAAAUA